GAACAUGGAUCGCAAUUCCCUGUCCGCGCUAUGGAAAACGGUGCCAUUGUCGCUCCACAUGGUGGCACAGCAGCCUCUUCGCCCCACAAAUCUUCGGAAAGCCGCGAUAAACGAUGCUGAGAAGUACGCAGCAUUAUGGGCCCUGCAUAGUCCACGCCUGAUGUGAGGAAAGCACGCUGCGGGGUCACUCGGUCUAGAGGCAGCUGUCCCAUCAAUUGCUUGGCUGGAACUCCACCGUAUCUUGCGCAACGAACGCAAUUUUUUAUGACUUGACGGACCAAAGGACGGCCAUGGAGAAUCCAAAAUUUUCUUAAUAGCAGGCUCCUGGUCAGUUGCGGUCCACCAUGGAAAGUGUGCAGGGAAGCAGCGCGUUCCCCAGUCGCCCCCCCACCCGAAGCACCCCAUGAGGAUCGAGAAAGGGCUUCAGCGAGGCGAGAGGCGACGUCUUCUUUACUUCGCUGCGCUGCUGGAGACGUUGAAUUUCCUCCGGAAAGCUGGUCCCUUGGGAAAGCCG